rnacentral:rRNA from 1 species
GAUGAACGCUGGCGGCGUGCCUGAUACAUGCAAGUCGAGCGAACGGACGAGAAGCUUGCUUCUCUGAUGUUAGCGGCGGACGGGUGAGUAACACGUGGAUAACCUACCUAUAAGACUGGGAUAACUUCGGGAAACCGGAGCUAAUACCGGAUAAUAUUUUGAACCGCAUGGUUCAAAAGUGAAAGACGGUCUUGCUGUCACUUAUAGAUGGAUCCGCGCUGCAUUAGCUAGUUGGUAAGGUAACGGCUUACCAAGGCAACGAUGCAUAGCCGACCUGAGAGGGUGAUCGGCCACACUGGAACUGAGACACGGUCCAGACUCCUACGGGAGGCAGCAGUAGGGAAUCUUCCGCAAUGGGCGAAAGCCUGACGGAGCAACGCCGCGUGAGUGAUGAAGGUCUUCGGAUCGUAAAACUCUGUUAUUAGGGAAGAACAUAUGUGUAAGUAACUGUGCACAUCUUGACGGUACCUAAUCAGAAAGCCACGGCUAACUACGUGCCAGCAGCCGCGGUAAUACGUAGGUGGCAAGCGUUAUCCGGAAUUAUUGGGCGUAAAGCGCGCGUAGGCGGUUUUUUAAGUCUGAUGUGAAAGCCCCACGGCUCAACCGUGGAGGGUCAUUGGAAACUGGAAAACUUGAGUGCAGAAGAGGAAAGUGGAAUUCCAUGUGUAGCGGUGAAAUGCGCAGAGAUAUGGAGGAACACCAGUGGCGAAGGCGACUUUCUGGUCUGUAACUGACGCUGAUGUGCGAAAGCGUGGGGAUCAAACAGGAUUAGAUACCCUGGUAGUCCACGCCGUAAACGAUGAGUGCUAAGUGUUAGGGGGUUUCCGCCCCUUAGUGCUGCAGCUAACGCAUUAAGCACUCCGCCUGGGGAGUACGACCGCAAGGUUGAAACUCAAAGGAAUUGACGGGGACCCGCACAAGCGGUGGAGCAUGUGGUUUAAUUCGAAGCAACGCGAAGAACCUUACCAAAUCUUGACAUCCUUUGACAACUCUAGAGAUAGAGCCUUCCCCUUCGGGGGACAAAGUGACAGGUGGUGCAUGGUUGUCGUCAGCUCGUGUCGUGAGAUGUUGGGUUAAGUCCCGCAACGAGCGCAGCCCUUAAGCUUAGUUGCCAUCAUUAAGUUGGGCACUCUAAGUUGACUGCCGGUGACAAACCGGAGGAAGGUGGGGAUGACGUCAAAUCAUCAUGCCCCUUAUGAUUUGGGCUACACACGUGCUACAAUGGACAAUACAAAGGGCAGCGAAACCGCGAGGUCAAGCAAAUCCCAUAAAGUUGUUCUCAGUUCGGAUUGUAGUCUGCAACUCGACUACAUGAAGCUGGAAUCGCUAGUAAUCGUAGAUCAGCAUGCUACGGUGAAUACGUUCCCGGGUCU